rnacentral:rRNA from 1 species
GAUGAACGCUGGCGGCGUGCCUAAUACAUGCAAGUCGAGCGAACAGACGAGGAGCUUGCUCCUCUGACGUUAGCGGCGGACGGGUGAGUAACACGUGGAUAACCUACCUAUAAGACUGGGAUAACUUCGGGAAACCGGAGCUAAUACCGGAUAAUAUAUUGAACCGCAUGGUUCAAUAGUGAAAGACGGUUGUGCUGUCACUUAUAGAUGGAUCCGCGCCGCAUUAGCUAGUUGGUAAGGUAACGGCUUACCAAGGCAACGAUGCGUAGCCGACCUGAGAGGGUGAUCGGCCACACUGGAACUGAGACACGGUCCAGACUCCUACGGGAGGCAGCAGUAGGGAAUCUUCCGCAAUGGGCGAAAGCCUGACGGAGCAACGCCGCGUGAGUGAUGAAGGUCUUCGGAUCGUAAAACUCUGUUAUUAGGGAAGAACAAAUGUGUAAGUAACUAUGCACGUCUUGACGGUACCUAAUCAGAAAGCCACGGCUAACUACGUG